rnacentral:rRNA from 1 species
AGAGUUUGAUCCUGGCUCAGGAUGAACGCUGGCGGCGUGCUUAACACAUGCAAGUCGAACGAUGAAGCGGUGCUUGCACCGUGGAUUAGUGGCGAACGGGUGAGUAACACGUGAGUAACCUGCCCUUGACUCUGGGAUAAGCCUGGGAAACUGGGUCUAAUACUGGAUAUGACUGAUCAUCGCAUGGUGGUUGGUGGAAAGCUUUUGUGGUUUUGGAUGGACUCGCGGCCUAUCAGCUUGUUGGUGGGGUAAUGGCUUACCAAGGCGACGACGGGUAGCCGGCCUGAGAGGGUGGACGGCCACACUGGGACUGAGACACGGCCCAGACUCCUACGGGAGGCAGCAGUGGGGAAUAUUGCACAAUGGGCGCAAGCCUGAUGCAGCGACGCCGCGUGAGGGAUGAAGGCCUUCGGGUUGUAAACCUCUUUCAGUAGGGAACAAGCCUUUUGGGGUGAGGGUACCUGCAGAAGAAGCGCCGGCUAACUACGUGCCAGCAGCCGCGGUAAUACGUAGGGCGCAAGCGUUAUCCGGAAUUAUUGGGCGUAAAGAGCUCGUAGGCGGUUUGUCGCGUCUGCCGUGAAAGUCCGGGGCUUAACUCCGGAUCUGCGGUGGGUACGGGCAGACUUGAGUGAUGUAGGGGAGACUGGAAUUCCUGGUGUAGCGGUGAAAUGCGCAGAUAUCAGGAGGAACACCGAUGGCGAAGGCAGGUCUCUGGGCAUUAACUGACGCUGAGGAGCGAAAGCAUGGGGAGCGAACAGGAUUAGAUACCCUGGUAGUCCAUGCCGUAAACGUUGGGCACUAGGUGUGGGGGACAUUCCACGUUUUCCGCGCCGUAGCUAACGCAUUAAGUGCCCCGCCUGGGGAGUACGGCCGCAA